AGAGGAGGAAUGGCUGGAGGGAUGGAUGGCUGGAGGGUGGGUGGAUGGGAGGAUGGAUGGAUGGAGGGAUGGAGGAGGGAUGGGUGGAGGGAGGGAUGGCUGGAGGGUGGAUGGAAGGACAGAUGCCAUGGAAGAGGUGGCAAGAACCUAGGUCCCCUCAGGUUGUGUUCAGUCAGGAGUCAGCAGUAUGUUUUGGCAAAGUGUUUUGCAUCCCCCAACCCUUGCUCCGCCGACAUUCCACAUCCUUCUCAGAAAAAGUUUCUCUGCCUCCUCCAGAGAUAGUUGCUCUUGCCCCGCCCUUCCCAGGAAUCAGCACACCCAGGCCUUCAGCCUCCUGAGGACUGUGUGGUGGGAAAUGAGCAAAACAGAAAACCACAGCGCCAAGCUGGGAAGAGACAGCCAGUGCCUGUGGAGACACUUGUCCCUCUGCAGUGCCUCCGAAAGGGCACAGGAAAUUGGCAGGUUGGAGGACAAGCCGUCAGCCCUCCAGGGAACUGAGUCACACAUCAAGGGGGUCACCGGCCCCCUCUGAACUGCAGUCUCGUCCUCUGUGCAGUGGAGGUGGGCAUACUUGAUCUUGGCAGGAGUUCUUUUUAGCACUAAAAUUCCAGCGCUCACACGCUCCCUGCACGGACAUGCUCCCCGUGUUGGCUAAAUGUGGGAGCUUCCGNGACAAAGAGUCUGGGCAGGGACGGGGGUGGGGUAGUAAAUUCUGAUAGCCUGGCAACUGGCCGGAGUGAAUUCAAACAACGACGAGAAAAGCUAAAUUGGGGGUGUUUACCGUAUGCUGGCGACACGGCGCACGUCAUCUGACGGCUCUGUUAGAAUCCGCUCAGCCCUUUGCUGCUCAGGUUCCAUGACUUGCCCUCUUUUAUAAAUGAGGACCGGAGGCACAGAGAGGUUUAGUCCUUUGCCCCACAGCACACAGCUUGUUAGGAGAGGAACAGGUUCCAAAUCUCUGCGCCCUUUGCGGCAACACUCUGGCUUCUCUGUCCGGUGUCCUUUAGACUCAGCACCGUAUCGUAGGCUGUGCCUGAUUUCUCUCUGGUUGUUGCCUUCACUAAAAGGGCCGUUUACUUUGUCCUCCUCCCAGAAGAGACAGCCAG
rnacentral:lncRNA from 1 species